rnacentral:rRNA from 1 species
UACGUAGGGUGCAAGCGUUAAUCGGAAUUACUGGGCGUAAAGCGUGCGCAGGCGGUUAUGCAAGGCAGAUGUGAAAUCCCCGGGCUCAACCUGGGAACUGCGUUUGUGACUGCAUGGCUGGAGUGCGGCAGAGGGGGAUGGAAUUCCGCGUGUAGCAGUGAAAUGCGUAGAUAUCUGGAGGAACACCGGUGGCGAAGGCGGCAUCCUGGACCGGCAUUGACGCUGAGGAGCGAAAGCCAGGGGAGCAAACGGG